rnacentral:rRNA from 1 species
UACGGAGGGUGCAAGCAUUGAUCGGAAUUACUGGGCGUAAAGGGCGCGUAGGCGGUAUUGUAAGUCGGAUGUGAAAUUCCGGGGCUCAACCCCGGAGCUGCAUUUGAAACUGCAAAACUAGAGUACAGUUAGGGUAAACGGAAUUCCACGUGUAGCGGUGAAAUGCGUAGAUAUGUGGAAGAACACCGGUGGUGAAGACGGUUUACUGGGCUGAAACUGACGCUGAGGCGCGAGAGCGUGGGGAGCAAACAGG